rnacentral:rRNA from 1 species
UACGUAGGGGGCAAGCGUUGUCCGGAUUUCUUGGGCGUAAAGAGCGUGUAGGCGGCCAUGUAGGUCCGUUGUGAAAACUCGAGGCUCAACCUCGAGACGCCGAUGGAAACCAUGUGGCUAGAGUCCGGAAGAGGAGAGUGGAAUUCCUGGUGUAGCGGUGAAAUGCGCAGAUAUCAGGAAGAACACCCGUGGCUAAGGCGGCUCUCUAGUACGGUACUGACGCUGAGACGCGAAAGCGUGGGGAGCGAACAGG